rnacentral:lncRNA from 1 species
GCUGACUCUGGGCUGUGUCAGGUUGACAGCUGAAGCGAACUGGGACAGAUUUUAGUUAUGUGUAUGUAUGCCUGAGUAUGUACACAUGUGCAGGUGAGUGAAGGCACCAUGGAAGCCAAAAGAAGGCAUCAGACACCCUCCAGCUGGACUUAACAAGAGGUUGUGAACUGCUUAACCUGAGUACUAGAAAACUAAUGUGAUUCCUCUGCAAGAAUAGCAAGUACUCAACCCCUGAGCCAUCUCUCCAGCCCUGUGAUUUCCUUUUUCUCUGAAGAGAAGUAUAGUUGUAAGCCCAGUUCAGAUCAGACUGCAUCCCCACUGAUGGAAGGAUGCACACUUUGGAAAUAUUUAACAAAUAGAAUAGGGAGCUCUGGAUGUGACACCAGGGUAAAUUACAUGUUUGGUUAUGCACAAGGCUCUAGAUUGAAACCUCGGUUCCAUCAAAUAAUAAUAAAAUAUAUUGGCGAGCAGGAAGAUGCCUAAUCUGAUAACAGGACUUGUUGCCGAGCCUGAUGACCGAGUUCUUUCCCUGGGACACACAUAUAACGCCCACUCACCUGCACAUAUGCACGCAGGCACACAUAUACCAACUCCCACAGGUCAUCCUAUGAUGCACACACCUGUGCUUCUGGUACAGAAAACUAAAUGUAAUUUAAAAUUAUACAUUAAUAACAAAUUACACAGUCCAGAGAACCUCUGCCAGGUCCUAUUUUACAAAUGCUAGGACUUAUUUGUAGUGUCUAUUUGUGCUGGUACACACAGCAUAAGCAUAUGGAGUAUAUGGAGGUCAGAUGACAGCUUGCAGAAGUCAGCUCAGUUCUCUCCUUCUACUGUGUAGGUUCCAAGGAUCAAAAUCAGCUUGUCAGACUUAGUCCCAAACACCUAAAAGGACCUCUGAAGGGAUGCAGGCUUGGAGUGAACAUGGAACCAGACUUGGUGGCAUGUCCCUUUAAUUCUAGCCCAGAGAAAGCUGAAGCAAAGGAUCAUGAGUUUUAAGCCAGGUUAGACUACACAGUGAAACUUUGUCUCAAAACAUAGAACAGUAAAAGACCGCUCCAGCUGGCUGAGGUGAUACACACCUGUAUCCAGUCUUGCUGAUAGAAACCUGAGGGUCUGAAGUCCCAGGCCAGACUCUGUUACAUACCUGUCUC